GAUGAACGCUGGCGGCGUGCCUAAUACAUGCAAGUCGAGCGAACAGACGAGGAGCUUGCUCCUCUGACGUUAGCGGCGGACGGGUGAGUAACACGUGGAUAACCUACCUAUAAGACUGGGAUAACUUCGGGAAACCGGAGCUAAUACCGGAUAAUAUAUUGAACCGCAUGGUUCAAUAGUGAAAGACGGUUUUGCUGUCACUUAUAGAUGGAUCCGCGCCGCAUUAGCUAGUUGGUAAGGUAACGGCUUACCAAGGCAACGAUGCGUAGCCGACCUGAGAGGGUGAUCGGCCACACUGGAACUGAGACACGGUCCAGACUCCUACGGGAGGCAGCAGUAGGGAAUAUUCCGCAAUGGGCGAAAGCCUGAUGGAGCAACGCCGCGUGAGUGAUGAAGGUCUUCGGAUCGUAAAACUCUGUUAUUAGGGAAGAACAAAUGUGUAAGUAACUAUGCACGUCUUGACGGUACCUAAUCAGAAAGCCACGGCUAACUACGUG
rnacentral:rRNA from 1 species